UUGCACGUGCCUAUCAGGAGAAAUCAGAAGCUUAGCGAUAAAGUUACAACUCUACAAAAGUUGGUUUCACCUUUUGGCAAGACUGACACUGCAUCAGUUCUUCAUGAGGCUUCUCUUUAUAUCGAGCUUCUUCAAGCACAAAUCUGGACACUAGACUAUGAGACUCAAGCGACUUGCUCGGAGAUUAUUCUAAUAUAUAUAUAUAUAUAUAUAUAUAUAUAUAUAUAUAUAUAUAUAUAUAUAUUAUUUUUCUUUUUGUUCUUCUGGGGGUAGCAGAAUUUGUUUCAGAUGCUAAGUGUCUCUUACAUUAGUAAGGCUGAAGCCCCUCAUACUCAGGGAUGUGGGCACAAAGUGCAGGUUGACUAAGAGUAGAGGACUUUGUUUGGUUCCCAUAUCAAUCACACACGAAGUAACAAUGGAAGACCAGAUUCAUCAUGCUUCUGCCUCUGGAAUUAUCCAGCCCUGAAAUUUCUAAUUCAACAAUUAUG